UGAGGAAGAGGGAGCUGGGAAUGUUUGGGUGUAUUUGGUAAGGCUGGAGAGCCUACCUUGUGAGAAGUGGAGGAUAUUCCCUUCACCAAGGAAACAAGGGAUGCAUCGAAAAUGAAUACAUUAACAUCUUUUGUCGUAAAAACGUGAGCCAUAGUUUCCCUAUCACUGAUAGAGCUUUAGACUGGACCUUGAGAAAGUAUUUUCAUAUUGUGCUAGGGAUUGAACCCAGAGUCUUGUGUGUGCUGGGCAAGUGGUAUACUAUUGAGCUACACUCCCAGCCCUUAGACUGGACCUUGAGAAAGUCCUCCUUCCACAGCUCUGCUCUCAGUGAACAAUAUCACCAUCCAGUGACAGCUCAGACCAAAGAGCCAGUAGGCAUUAUUUGUACCCCUGCCACCCUCCUGUGUUACUUUUCUCUCAUUGCUGAGACAAAAUACCUGGCAUGAAAAGUUAAAGGGGAAGAGGUUUCAGUCUAUAAUCAGCUGACUCCAAGGCAGGGAUGACAAGCAUGGCAGAACAGAAACAACAUGGCACACAAAGCAAAGGUAAUGAGAGUUAACAGUGCCUCCUUGCCCCUUUUACUCAGACUACGUAGGGUGAGUAGCACUCACACCCUUAAUCCUAGUGCGCUGGAGACUAGCAUUGCAUUAUGAUCAAUUCCAGCUUCACACAUGAGACUCUGGGGGGACAUCUAGACCAAGCCAUAAUACCUCUUGUUAGUGUUCCUCACCACAUGAGACAUUCCAUCAUGCUCCUUUUAUGCCCUGGGGCAGAUCUUCCUCUCCACUCAUUCAGAUUACUCUAGGGUUCUCCCAGCAGUUUCCUUCUUAUGUCUUCCCAUUGUGCACUGUGGGCUUUCUAAACUCAAGGCCAUUUAUGCCACUGUCCUGAGUCAUAUUCCCACAGCUUUCCAUUACCUCAGAGCAAAGCCACCAAUGCAGAGGGGUGAGGGGGGAUGACUCAAGUGCAUGGCUUUCCUGCUUUCUAGUCCUCCAGAUCUCCUAGAUCACCUGGAGGAAGUUGGUCUGCAGAAAGGGAGAGAGAGGACAGCACGCCCUAGGAAGCACCGCUGAUGAUGGAAGAGAGAAAUCGAUGACUUUUAAACACUUGGAUUAAAAUGCCUGAAGCCUGCAGCAUUCCUGGACAUCCUGAGGUAAGACAAGAAAUAAAAAGUAGAAAGGAGACAAGGAAAUCAUAACAAAAAAUUAUACUUUUAAGAAGACUGCAACUUCCAGAACCCAGCUAAUCUAUAAGUUAAUCCAUAUCAGCAUUCCUUUGGUUAAAUUUAGGCUCCUUUACUACCAGACCCAUUGCACAAAAAACUCAGGAAUACUAAAAGUCCAUAAAUUGACUUGAGAAAGUAAAAAGUAAGAAUCUGAUCCUAAAAUAAAGGAGCCAAUUGAGAGAAUCUAAAUGUUUAAAUCACCUUUUUAAAAAAAUUUUUUUUAUUGGUACAUUUUAGGUAUACAGUAUAAUGACAUUCAUCAUUGGAAAUUUGCACCUUUACAUAAUCCAUCUUGGUUCUUAUUUUUUCCCCAUUCCCCUGCCCUCCCUUCAAUCCCUCCACUUCUCCUUAUCUACAAAGACUGUUUCCAUUUUUAAAUUUUCUCACAUUAAUUCCACCCCCUUCUUUCUU
rnacentral:lncRNA from 1 species